GUGGGGAAUAUUGGACAAUGGGCGAAAGCCUGAUCCAGCCAUGCCGCGUGUGUGAAGAAGGUCUUCGGAUUGUAAAGCACUUUAAGUUGGGAGGAAGGGCAGUAAGUUAAUACCUUGCUGUUUUGACGUUACCAACAGAAUAAGCACCGGCUAACUUCGUGCCAGCAGCCGCGGUAAUACGAAGGGUGCAAGCGUUAAUCGGAAUUACUGGGCGUAAAGCGCGCGUAGGUGGUUCAGCAAGUUGAAGGUGAAAUCCCCGGGCUCAACCUGGGAACUGCCUCCAAAACUACUGAGCUAGAGUACGGUAGAGGGUAGUGGAAUUUCCUGUGUAGCGGUGAAAUGCGUAGAUAUAGGAAGGAGCACCAGUGGCGAAGGCGACUACCUGGACUGAUACUGACACUGAGGUGCGAAAGCGUGGGGAGCAAACAGGAUUAGAUACCCCGGUAGUCC
rnacentral:rRNA from 1 species